rnacentral:rRNA from 1 species
UACGUAGGGUGCGAGCGUUAAUCGGAAUUACUGGGCGUAAAGCGUGCGCAGGCGGUUUUGUAAGACAGGCGUGAAAUCCCCGGGCUCAACCUGGGAAUGGCGCUUGUGACUGCAAGGCUGGAGUGCGGCAGAGGGGGAUGGAAUACCUGGUGUAGCAGUGAAAUGCGUAGAGAUCAGGAGGAACACCGAUGGCGAAGGCAGCCCCCUGGGCCUGUACUGACGCUCAUGCACGAAAGCGUGGGGAGCAAACAGG